CUUUUCUCCUCCUGAGUCUCUGCUUUAGUCAGUUGCGCCUUCCUGUAUUUGCCUCUCAAGUGUUGGGGGUGGCGGUUUGCCCUGUAUCCUCCCCUCUCUUAUCCAAGAAGACUUGUUUUUCAGUCAGUUCAGCUUUUUACUUGUUCAGUUCGAGUGAUGACUUUCAAGCUUCUUACUUGUGGAAAGGAAAAGCAGACGUCCCAGAGCAUAGACUUGAAAAUCCGAUAAUCUUCUACUUAGCUAUUGGAUUGUAGGAGAAAAAUGGCCACAGAAAGACCUAGAGACACAGAGAAGAAGACAAUGUGAAGACAGAAGCAGAGAUUGGAGUGAUCUGUCUACAAGACCAAGGGACACCAAGGAUUGCCUGCAACCACCAGAAGCUAGGAGAGAGUGGCCUCGGAGGUGAGCAGCGAAAGCCCCGAAGGAAACAAAACAGGGUAAGGGAAAGAAUUCCCUAAGCCAUGUCUUCCAGUUUGGAGAACCG